rnacentral:rRNA from 1 species
UUCCGGUUGAUCCCGCCGGAGGUUACUGCUAUCGGUGUUCGCCUAAGCCAUGCGAGUCAUAUGUAGCAAUACAUGGCGUACUGCUCAGUAACACGUGGAUAACCUGCCCUUGGGUCCGGCAUAACCCCGGGAAACUGGGGAUAAUUCCGGAUAACGCACAUAUGCUGGAAUGCUUUAUGCGUCAAAUGGAUUCGUCUGCCCAAGGAUGGGUCUGCGGCCUAUCAGGCAGUAGUGGGUGUAAUGUACCUACUAGCCGACAACGGGUACGGGUUGUGAGAGCAAGAGCCCGGAGAUGGAUUCUGAGACAUGAAUCCAGGCCCUACGGGGCGCAGCAGGCGCGAAAACUUUACAAUGCGGGAAACCGUGAUAAGGGGACACCGAGUGUCAGCAUCAUAUGCUGGCUGUCCAGGUGUGUAAAAUACACCUGUUAGCAAGGGCCGGGCAAGACCGGUGCCAGCCGCCGCGGUAACACCGGCGGCCCGAGUGGUGAUCGUGAUUAUUGGGUCUAAAGGGUCCGUAGCCGGUUUGGUCAGUCCUCCGGGAAAUCUGAUAGCUCAACUAUUAGGCUAUCGGGGGAUACUGCCAGGCUUGGAACCGGGAGAGGUAAGAGGUACUACAGGGGUAGGAGUGAAAUCUUGUAAUCCCUGUGGGACCACCUGUGGCGAAGGCGUCUUACCAGAACGGGUUCGACGGUGAGGGACGAAAGCUGGGGGCACGAACCGGAUUAGAUACCCGGGUAGUCCCAGCCGUAAACGAUGCUCGCUAGGUGUCAGCAUGGCGCGACCGUGUCUGGUGCCGCAGGGAAGCCGUGAAGCGAGCCACCUGGGAAGUACGGCCGCWAGGCUGAAACUUAAAGGAAUUGGCGGGGGGAGCAC